rnacentral:ncRNA from 1 species
UUAUGCUUGCGCACAUGAACCGCUUCCUGUCCGCUCUCCGACGUCGCCGCUCGCCGCUCCGCCCGGAUGCCGCCGGCUCGUCACGGACUCGCGCGUAACCCGCCCCGCUUCACCGGUUACGCACAAGCUGUUCGAUCCACCAGCCACGGCAUUCCGUGGCUUUUUU